rnacentral:rRNA from 1 species
AAUCAACGCUGGCGGCGUGCCUAACACAUGCAAGUCGAACGAGAAAGUGGGAGCAAUCCUGCGAGUAAAGUGGCAGACGGGUGAGUAACACGUGAACAACCUACCCUCGAGUGGGGAAUAACCCCGCGAAAGCGGGGCUAAUACCGCAUAACAUCCUUGGAUCGCAUGAUUUGAGGAUCAAGAGCGCAAGUUGCUUGAGGAGGGGUUCGCGCCUGAUUAGCUAGUUGGUGAGGUAACGGCCCACCAAGGCAACGAUCAGUAGCCGGCCUGAGAGGGCGAACGGCCACACUGGAACUGAGACACGGUCCAGACUCCUACGGGAGGCAGCAGUGGGGAAUUUUGCGCAAUGGGCGAAAGCCUGACGCAGCAACGCCGCGUGGAGGAUGAAGGUCUUCGGAUCGUAAACUCCUGUCAGGGGGGAAGAAGGCCGGGCAACCGGUUUGACUGUACCCCUUGAGGAAGCCACGGCUAACUCCGUGC